rnacentral:lncRNA from 1 species
UCGGCGUCGCGGCGUGGCCACCAGCCCCCGGAUCCGAGUUGGGAGAGGUGCCAAAGUGAGGGGGCCUUUCCUCUUUAGAAGAAAGAAGACCUUCAAGUUUGUCUUUUAUUGAAAUGGUUAUUCUAUGGCUAAUUCUGUUACUAAAUAAACUUCCAUUCCUUGAUUAAUUGCUAAUUUUGCCUCUCUCAUUGCAACAGUUUCCUGAGGUAGAAACUCUCUUGCCAGGUCAAGAGUCUUUCUGUAGACAGCAUCCGCCUCCUGGUU